AUGAACGCUAGCGGCAGGCCUAACACAUGCAAGUCGAGGGGCAGCACGGUGUAGCAAUACACUGGUGGCGACCGGCGCACGGGUGCGUAACGCGUAUGCAACCUACCCAUAACAGGGGGAUAACACUGAGAAAUUGGUACUAAUACCCCAUAACAUCAGGACCGGCAUCGGUUCUGGUUGAAAACUCCGGUGGUUAUGGAUGGGCAUGCGUUGUAUUAGCUGGUUGGUGAGGUAACGGCUCACCAAGGCAACGAUACAUAGGGGGACUGAGAGGUUAACCCCCCACAUUGGUACUGAGACACGGACCAAACUCCUACGGGAGGCAGCAGUGAGGAAUAUUGGUCAAUGGACGCAAGUCUGAACCAGCCAUGCCGCGUGCAGGAAGACGGCUCUAUGAGUUGUAAACUGCUUUUGUACGAGAGUAAACGCUCUUACGUGUAAGAGCCUGAAAGUAUCGUACGAAUAAGGAUCGGCUAACUCCGUGCCAGCAGCCGCGGUAAUACGGAGGAUCCAAGCGUUAUCCGGAUUUAUUGGGUUUAAAGGGUGCGUAGGCGGUUUGAUAAGUUAGAGGUGAAAUACCGGUGCUUAACACCGGAACUGCCUCUAAUACUGUUGAACUAGAGAGUAGUUGCGGUAGGCGGAAUGUAUGGUGUAGCGGUGAAAUGCUUAGAGAUCAUACAGAACACCGAUUGCGAAGGCAGCUUACCAAACUAUAUCUGACGUUGAGGCACGAAAGCGUGGGGAGCAAACAGGAUUAGAUACCCUGGUAGUCCACGCAGUAAACGAUGAUAACUCGCUGUCGGCGAUACACAGUCGGCGGCUAAGCGAAAGCGAUAAGUUAUCCACCUGGGGAGUACGUUCGCAAGAAUGAAACUCAAAGGAAUUGACGGGGGCCCGCACAAGCGGUGGAGUAUGUGGUUUAAUUCGAAGCAACGCGAAGAACCUUACCAGGACUUGACAUCCCUCUGAAAGCCGUGAUAACGAUCGGCCCUCUUCGGACAGAGGUGACAGGUGGUGCAUGGUUGUCGUCAGCUCGUGCCGUGAGGUGUCGGGUUAAGUCCCAUAACGAGCGCAACCCCUACCGUUAGUUGCCAUCAGGUCAAGCUGGGCACUCUGGCGGGACUGCCGGUGUAAGCCGAGAGGAAGGUGGGGAUGACGUCAAAUCAGCACGGCCCUUACGUCCGGGGCUACACACGUGUUACAAUGGUAGGUACAGAGGGCAGCUACCCAGUGAUGGGAUGCGAAUCUCGAAAGCCUAUCUCAGUUCGGAUCGGAGGCUGAAACCCGCCUCCGUGAAGUUGGAUUCGCUAGUAAUCGCGCAUCAGCCAUGGCGCGGUGAAUACGUUCCCGGGCCUUGUACACACCGCCCGUCAAGCCAUGGAAGCUGGGGGUGCCUGAAGUUCGUGACCGCAAGGAGCGACCUAGGGCAAAACCGGUGACUGGGGCU
rnacentral:rRNA from 1 species